AACGAACGCUGGCGGCAUGCCUAACACAUGCAAGUCGAACGAGACCUUCGGGUCUAGUGGCGCACGGGUGCGUAACGCGUGGGAACCUGCCCUUAGGUUCGGAAUAACUCCCCGAAAGGGGUGCUAAUACCGGAUAAUGUCUUCGGCCCAAAGAUUUAUCGCCUUUGGAUGGGCCCGCGUUGGAUUAGCUAGUUGGUAAGGUAAAAGCCUACCAAGGCGACGAUCCAUAGCUGGUCUGAGAGGAUGAUCAGCCACACUGGGACUGAGACACGGCCCAGACUCCCACGGGAGGCAGCAGUGGGGAAUAUUGGACAAUGGGCGAAAGCCUGAUCCAGCAAUGCCGCGUGAGUGAUGAAGGCCUUAGGGUUGUAAAGCUCUUUUAACCGGGAUGAUAAUGACAGUACCGGGAGAAUAAGCUCCGGCUAACUCCGUG
rnacentral:rRNA from 1 species